ensembl:Y_RNA Y_RNA Y RNA
GGCUGGUCUAAAGGUAAUGAGUUAUCUUGAUUGAUUGUUCACAGGCAGUCACAGAUCUAAUUCCUUGUUCUACUCUUUCCCUUACCUUCUCACCACUGCACUUGAAUACUUUAAA